rnacentral:rRNA from 1 species
GCCAGCAGGUAUAUCACUCUGUAACUCACAACUAGUAACCCAGCUAAGCAGGUAAGAGCCUGACCAGUACCUGGAUGGGAGACCUCCUGGAAAGGCUAAGGUUGCUGUUGGAA